rnacentral:antisense_RNA from 1 species
GAGGCGGGUCGGGAGAGGGCUGGGGAACGGAAGGGGUACCCGGGGAGCAUCCUAAGGGAACCUCUUCGCUUAAAAGGGCGGCCGCUGAAGUGGCUCUGAGAACAAAGGAGUUAACAUUCGGACUCCACAGGUGGCCCGGGGUGGCCCUGGAGGAGCCCGCCUUUACCUUGCCCUAGCCCACCGGCGUGUCCCGCAGUUCCGAGCUAAACGCGGCAGGCCGGGAAGGCUCGGGCUGUCUGAAGAGAGGCGUGACCUCGCCUACACCAGAUCCAAGGCGCACAUUCCGAGACACCUCUCAACCUCACUCAACACGUGCCGUUUCCAACUCCGAGGCAGAGGCAGCGCCUGGCGACCCCGGGGCCUGCGUCCCAGCCCGGUCAGCAUCGCAGAUGUUACCCAAACUCUGACGGUCCCUUUAAGAACUCACCUGGAGUCGCGCCCUCCGAAGCUGAGCCGCCGUCGGCCAGCGCUGCAGGCCCCAGCUUAUAAAUCUAUGAAGGUGUCCAGGUCCUGCCAGACUCCACUGCAUCUUUUGCUUUCACUCCAGCAGAGUAGCAGCAUGCUGCCUGUGCCAAGGCAAUCACUAAAAGGAAAGGAUUUAAUGCUGUCAAAAAAGCUUAUGCCAGCUUAGGCUGCAAGAAGAGGAACAGUGUCAAGUAUGUUGAAAGUGGCCAUAUUGGUCAGACCUCCAUGAGAGCCUAGGGGGCAUUGCUUAGCAGCACACUUUUAAAGGAAUCUAAACAAACCAGCAUCUGGAAAGAAGAGAGUAACCACAGCAAUCAGGAAACAACUGUAGAAUCUAGGGCCUUCAUUGGAAAAACAGAAGUCUCCAGGGAGCUGCAGUCGUCAAACAGGCUUAUUCUGUGUGCCCAGUGGGCAAGUACAGUCAAUGGAUGAAAAUUCAACCAAUGGACAAACACAGGAAGUUCUUCCUUAACAUGAGUUGUCAGAAACUGUCCAAAAUUCCGAAGAGCUGCCUCAAGGUAGUGGAAAUUUUUUUUUUUUUUUUUAAUCGGGAAGGUGCUGAAUGAAGCCAGCAAGGAUUCUGUGUCAGAGGGUGGUAGAUACCCAGGACGUAAGGUUGAACUAGGUGACCUCUGAGACCACAGUUCUAAGCUGUUGAAACCUGAGUCCCUGCUGAAUACUGAAAUGGUAUUAGCACCCUUUAGUCUACAUCAAGAAUUCAUGCUACCCAGUUUUAGUGGUACCGAGACUGAUCUCUUUCUCAUAGAUCAUUCUUAACAGAAUAAAAGCUACAGGUUGAAACCAAUUCCCUUUAAAAUGUGGACAGUUUGCCAUCUCCAUGAUGGGCAGUUAGGCACUGAGCUAAUGCUUUUUAAUGGAAGAGCCACCCUAAGUUUCCUGGAUUACGGUAUAAUGGAGUACUAAAUCAGUAUAGGACUAAUAACUGCCUCCCAUGUAAACUGGUCUAUCCGGAGAGUGGUAUAGCCCCUCAUACAGUGUUCAAAGACAGAUUUAACUCACUGCAGGUCCACAGCAACCUAUAAGAUAAACUCAUUAGUUAUGAUCUCCCACUUUGCAAAGGAGGGCACAGAAGAAGAAGAACUGAGAUAACUUGGUUUAGGACACCACAGCUGGCUGGAGCUAGGCUGAACAUUAGUUCAUUGUUUCUUCAACUAAUCUAUGCUGCUUUUUCUCUACUUGGCUCCUUUUCUAAAUUACACAAAACAAAA